UUUGUUGGGGAAACUUAACUCCGUUAAUAGAUCUACAGUCUAUCGCUUAAACUCAGCCACCAAACAA
rnacentral:tRNA from 1 species